rnacentral:rRNA from 1 species
UACGUAGGGGGCAAGCGUUGUCCGGAAUUAUUGGGCGUAAAGGGCUCGUAGGCGGUUUGUCGCGUCGGGAGUGAAAACACACAGCUUAACUGUGUGCUUGCUUCCGAUACGGGCAGACUAGAGGUAUGCAGGGGAGAACGGAAUUCCUGGUGUAGCGGUGAAAUGACGCAGAUAUCAGGAGGAACACCGGUGGCGAAGGCGGUUCUCUGGGCAUUACCUGACGCUGAGGAGCGAAAGUGUGGGGAGCGAACAGG